rnacentral:rRNA from 1 species
UACGAAGGGGGCUAGCGUUGCUCGGAAUCACUGGGCGUAAAGCGCACGUAGGCGGAUUGCUAAGUCAGGGGUGAAAUCCUGGAGCUCAACUCCAGAACUGCCUUUGAUACUGGCGAUCUUGAGUCCGGGAGAGGUGAGUGGAACUGCGAAGUGUAGAGGUGAAAUUCGUAGAUAUUCGCAAGAACACCAGUGGCGAAGGCGGCUCACCUGGCCCGGUACUGACGCUGAGGUGCGAAAAGCGUGGGGAGCAAACAGG